rnacentral:rRNA from 1 species
GACGAACGCUGGCGGCGUGCUUAACACAUGCAAGUGGAGCGACGAACCCUUCGGGGGGCAAAGCCGCGAACGGGUGAGUAACACGUGGGUAACCUGCCCCGAUGACUGGGACAACCCGGGGAAACCCGGGUUAAUACCGGAUGAUGUGCACACACUUAAGUGUGUUCACUAAAGGUAGCUUCGGCUUCCGCAUUGGGAGGGGCCCGCGGCCCAUUAGCUUGUUGGUGAGGUAACGGCUCACCAAGGCAACGAUGGGUAGCUGGUCUGAGAGGACGAUCAGCCACACUGGGACUGAGACACGGCCCAGACUCCUACGGGAGGCAGCAGUGGGGAAUCUUGCGCAAUGCGCGAAAGCGUGACGCAGCAACGCCGCGUGAGGGAAGACGGCCUUCGGGUUGUAAACCUCUUUCAGUAGGGACGAAGGCUGGCCGGUGAAUAGCCGUGUCGGUUGACGGUACCUUCAGAAGAAGCUCCGGCUAACUACGUGCCAGCCGCCGCCGUAA